UAAGACUUCGUUGACGGGCAAAUAUGGAACGCUGCAACAAGGACUGGUGUGGAUAGCGUGCUGCGCUGGUCUCGCCAACUGAAAAGAAUUCUGGUAAGACGCAUGCUUGGUUACAAAAGUCUCACGCAAUUGCUUUUCACAUUGAAUUUGGUCGCAGGUGUGCUGUAAAUGCCGACUGCACAAUAUGUGACUGGCCCGCGGCCGCUUUGAAGUCUUUCCCGACAGAAGAACAAUGCAAGUCUCACAUCUCGAUGAGGGUGGCGAUUUACCGUCUCAUAUCUCGA
rnacentral:lncRNA from 1 species